ACGGAUGAUGGCAGCAUCUUGAGCGAAUGGUAUCAGAAGGAUACAGAGGCAAGAAAAUCUAUAUUGUUUCAAUAAGAACAGGUUCUGAGGACCCAUGGCUCUUGCAGUUAUCACUGUUGUUACCUUUUGUCUUGUGAGCUGCACGAAUUUAGCCAAGGAUAGUACUUUUGGCAAAUAGGAGGAGAUCCAAAUAGCCUAGAUCCCACGAAGGAUCUUCAUGCGUACUUCGAACAAUCACACAAAGACAGCCCGCAGAAAUUACUGGCCUGAUGUUCCACGUACCUGGGGACAGCCCUGUUCCUGGCCACCUUGCACCUGCCCUGCUCCAGCCCCGGAAUCAGUCUUUUGUCCAUGGAGCCUGGGGGUCAGAGACCAAGAUCUCCGCAUUCGUUUGGUUCUCAGCUGGGGCUCUGGAACGAAAGAGCACCAUAAGAGAAAAGCCUAUGCAUUUAUUUCAUGUAAGUUUCACAUGCUACUGGAGCCUUCCUAAGGAAAUGAAACCCUAAAGAAACGGUUAAUCCUGAAUGUUCAUACUAGGUUAGAUGAAGAGUGGAAAGUGGUAGGAGAAUGUGACAGGAUAAAUAGGCAUGAACUAAAUGCGGUAAAUUGAAGAAACUUAGCAAAGGCUAUUCAUCUGGAUCCCUCUUGGAGUCCCUUGGUCUUAGAGAGAAGGAUGUUCCUUUUCUCUGGGUACAU